GACGAACGCUGGCGGCGUGCCUAAUACAUGCAAGUAGAACGCUGAAGGAGGAGCUUGCUUCUCUGGAUGAGUUGCGAACGGGUGAGUAACGCGUAGGUAACCUGCCUGGUAGCGGGGGAUAACUAUUGGAAACGAUAGCUAAUACCGCAUAAGAGUAGAUGUUGCAUGACAUUUGCUUAAAAGGUGCAAUUGCAUCACUACCAGAUGGACCUGCGUUGUAUUAGCUAGUUGGUGGGGUAACGGCUCACCAAGGCGACGAUACAUAGCCGACCUGAGAGGGUGAUCGGCCACACUGGGACUGAGACACGGCCCAGACUCCUACGGGAGGCAGCAGUAGGGAAUCUUCGGCAAUGGACGGAAGUCUGACCGAGCAACGCCGCGUGAGUGAAGCAGGUUUUCGGAUCGUAAAGCUCUGUUGUAAGAGAAGAACGAGUGUGAGAGUGGAAAGUUCACACUGUGACGGUAUCUUACCAGAAAGGGACGGCUAACUACGUG
rnacentral:rRNA from 1 species